GAUGAACGCUGGCGGCGUGCCUAAUACAUGCAAGUCGAGCGAACAGACGAGGAGCUUGCUCCUCUGACGUUAGCGGCGGACGGGUGAGUAACACGUGGAUAACCUACCUAUAAGACUGGGAUAACUUCGGGAAACCGGAGCUAAUACCGGAUAAUAUCUUGAACCGCGUGGUUCAAUAGUGAAAGACGGUUUUGCUGUCACUUAUAGAUGGAUCCGCGCCGCAUUAGCUAGUUGGUAAGGUAACGGCUUACCAAGGCAACGAUGCGUAGCCGACCUGAGAGGGUGAUCGGCCACACUGGAGCUGAGACACGGUCCAGACUCCUACGGGAGGCAGCAGUAGGGAAUCUUCCGCAAUGGGCGAAAGCCUGACGGAGCAACGCCGCGUGAGUGAUGAAGGUCUUCGGAUCGUAAAACUCUGUUAUUAGGGAAGAACAAAUGUGUAAGUAACUGUGCACGUCUUGACGGUACCUAAUCAGAAAGCCACGGCUAACUACGUG
rnacentral:rRNA from 1 species